AGGUUAUAGGCUCAGUAUAAAACAUUACAUGAGAUAAGCAUAUGUAAAGCCGUAUAAACAUUCGGUGGAGCAUAUCAAAUAAGUCAUCUAGCAUUUGGGCAAUGGGCCAAGGAACUGAGGGUUUUUGGUGUAAGACUGUAGGUGACAACGCUUUGUCUUAGGCCUCUCGUGUCUGGGGUUAUAGCAAUAUAGCCGAUGGGACCAAUAGUUUGGCUAUAGGCAGUAAGGCUUGAGGUGCGGAGAGUAGUAGAGAUAUAUGGUCUUCCGACCAGGGUCAGCUGGGCUAUGUAUCACCUGUGGGAGGGGCAUAGAGAUGUUGAACUAAUGCUGUGUAAAAUUACCUAUCUUACGAUCAGUGAGAUAGUUAAAGGAGACAACCUAAAAUAAUGCGAUAUAAUAUGUUAAAUGCAUUGGCGAGAAACAUGAUGUAGCAUAUAACAUGUGAAAAAUAAACAAUGGAGAAAAGAGUUCUGCAUGCAGAAAAAGCCUGGGCUAGCCCGUCUAAUGGGAGGCCUGGCAAAAAAUU